rnacentral:rRNA from 1 species
UACGUAGGUGGCAAGCGUUGUCCGGAAUUAUUGGGCGUAAAGCGCGCGCAGGCGGUCCUUUAAGUCCGCUGUGAAAGUCGGGGGCUCAACCCUCGAAUGCCGGUGGAUACUGUCGGGCUAGAGUGCGGAAGAGGCGAGUGGAAUUCCUGGUGUAGCGGUGAAAUGCGCAGAUAUCAGGAGGAACACCGAUUGCGAAGGCAGCUCGCUGGGACGUUACUGACGCUGAGACGCGAAAGCGUGGGGAGCAAACAGG